GACGAACGCUGGCGGCGUGCCUAACACAUGCAAGUCGUACGGGACCGGGGGCAACUCCGGUUCAGUGGCAGACGGGUGCGUAACACGUGAGGAACUUGUCCGGUGGCGGGGAUAGCCCGGCCCAACGGCCGGGUAAUACCGCAUACGCUCGUUCGGGGGCAUCCCUGGGCGAGGAAAGCAGCCGCAAGGUUGCGCCGACGGAGGGCCUCGCGACCUAUCAGCUUGUUGGCGGGGUAACGCCCACCGAAGGCGACGACGGGUAGCUGGUCUGAGAGGAUGAUCAGCCACAUUGGGACUGAGA
rnacentral:rRNA from 1 species